GGUGUGUGCGCACGCGCGGCCUGUAGCGCUCUUGCAAGACAAAAUGGCUGAAGGCUCAAGAAUUUCCUGUCACGUUCUUCAACAAUUUACAUGUAAUUAAGUCGACACAAUAACUACAAUAAUGAAAGAGUGAGGAGAACUGUGAUAAAGAACAGCUGCAUUUCCACUAAGCAUGUUUCUUACUGCCUGGGGAUCCUCAAUCAACCCUCAAUACGGGCCGGGAAGUCAUAAUCAAGAUGAGGUCUCAAAGAAAAGGAUCUCCAUUGCAACUACCCGUCGCCAAGUAGAUGUCCAAGACCAGCCUCUGAUGCAGGGGCUUCAAACUCCAGUAAAAGGUUAACACUCAGAAAACACAUUUUUAAUAUUAACACCGGUCCAUUAAGAUCGGGAAUAAUUGUGCAGAAAUUAUGUGGUUCUUGUUUGUACAGAAUUUAAAAUAAGUUUGAUGUCUUGAUUUGAAUUGACAGGCUAGGUUGUGUUUUUAUGUCAAGCUUUUUCAAGCUUCCAAAAGGUGCAUCAAUCAUUGUAAUACAUUUUAAGAUUGGUUUAACAAUUUAGUUCAAGCAUAAUUCCUCCCAAGAGUAGUUGGUGGAAAGGAGGUAAAACAAAGUACUUGUUUCUCAAAUUUCCUCAAAGAGUACUACAACCUACUGUUAACAUAAAAACAGAUGAGUAAUGGUUUGAAAAUUAAUCAGGAACACAUUGAUCACUUAUCACACUAAAACCAAACCCUGAUAUCAAUGGGGAGAAGGUCAUAGAUCCUCUGCAAGAGAUUCUGCACUGAAACAACAAUUGUUUGCUUGCAAUUGCAUAUGAACUAUCUGUUUGCUUAUUCUUUCCUUGCUAGUAUUUCCCUCAACCAACCAAGUAUGGAGGGAGUCACCCCCUACUGACAUCUUGAAGGCUGCCGGGUACAAAGGAAAGCAACACGUAUGAAACAUCAGUAUCAUCAAGGCAUCCUAGCUGUUCAUCUGUGUAAGAACCCAGCAAUUUGUUAUCAUCAAUUGUAAGAAAUUUAUUGUAGAUAUUAUCGUAGUUUGAUUUUCUAUGUUUUUCUAAUUGGUGUUUAGUGGACUGUUGCUGCAAUACUGUACAGUUUGGUUGUGAAAUAGACAAAUUGUAAACCUAUUUUGGACCGAAAUUACUAGAUUGAGGUUACUUUUUUAUACACCUGAACAAGUAAAACACCCUAGUAAUGAAAAACAUUACAUUUUUCAUUUGAAUCUGUGGUGAUUCAUCAAUA